rnacentral:rRNA from 1 species
AUACGGAGGGUGCAAGCGUUGUUCGGAAUCACUGGGCGUAAAGGGCGCGCAGGCGGUUUGGUAAGUCAGAUGUGAAAGCCCACGGCUCAACCGUGGAAGUGCAUUUGAAACUGUCAGACUUGAGUACUAGAGGGGAAAGUGGAAUUCCCGGUGUAGAGGUGAAAUUCGUAGAUAUCGGGAGGACUACCGGUGGCGAAGGCGACUUUCUGGCUAGAUACUGACGCUGAGGCGCGAAAGCGUGGGGAGCAAACAGGAUUAGAUACCCUAGUAGUCC